rnacentral:rRNA from 1 species
CAGCAGCCGCGGUAAAACGUAGGUGGCAAGCGUUGUCCGGAAUUAUUGGGCGUAAAGGGCUCGCAGGCGGUUUCUUAAGUCUGAUGUGAAAGCCCCCGGCUCAACCGGGGAGGGUCAUUGGAAACUGGGAAACUUGAGUGCAGAAGAGGAGAGUGGAAUUCCACGUGUAGCGGUGAAAUGCGUAGAGAUGUGGAGGAACACCAGUGGCGAAGGCGACUCUCUGGUCUGUAACUGACGCCGAGGAGCGAAAGCGUGGGGAGCGAACAGGAUUAGAGACCCCCGUAGUCCCUGUCUCUUAUAC